GCGGGUGUAGCUCAGCCGGCUAGAGCAUCAGCCUUCCAAGCUGAGGGUCACGGGUUCGAAUCCCGCCACCCGCU
rnacentral:tRNA from 1 species